rnacentral:tRNA from 1 species
GGGGGUAUAGCUCAGCUGGCUAGAGCGCCUGCCUUGCAAGCAGGAGGUCAUCGGUUCGAUCCCGUUUACCUCCACCA